ensembl:lncRNA
AUGUGGCAGUGCAAAGAAUGUCCAUCGCAACUAGCUAGCAGGUAUUUGUUGCUGCAGCAUUUUAGGCAGACUCAUGUGUGCUUUAGGGGCAGUUUUCGCUAUCCAUGUCCAUACACAGAUUGCCCAUGCACGUUUAGUACUUGGAGUAAGCUUCUUAAUCACACGUACAAAAUACAUGCUAAACAGGAAACUCCAAAGCCAGAAGAAUUAACACCAUUCCAGUGUCAUGUGUGCUCAUGCAAGGAGCUAGCAACAGAAAGAGAUUAUUUUCAACACAUAAAUGGACAUCUCAGGCAUAAUGAAACAGUCCAAUGUAUGUUUGUAGGAUGUACAUUUGAAAGUAAUAUUUACAGCACAUUUAACACCCACAGAUACCGGAAACACAAUCCACAUUCAUUAAUAGACUUCAAACCCAUUGUCGUCAGUUCAAGUGGUCACUUGCAUCAGUCAGACAAUUCUGUAGAUGGGCCAGCAGAGUCUGUGGAUACAGAUUAUGAAUUUGAAACUCUAAGUGGUGAUGAUACUGUAGGAGUAGACCUGCCAAAGUCUAUUGAUGAAAAGGUUGCUUGCAUUUUAUUGAAGUUGGAAAAUAUUGUUCACAUUCCAAAGUCAGCUGUUGAUGAGGUCCUUUCUGAACUUCACUAUAUAUUAAGUACAGCAUCUAUACCCAUCACAAAAGCAGUUGUAUCUGAUCUAUUCCAAAGUCACAAUAUUCAAGUUGAGGAAUCUGUAGUUGAUGAGCUUUCCACUGUUAUAUGCACAUCUAAUCCACUGGGCAGAGCUAUUUCUAAGGAGGGCCCUCUUGCUACUGCAUAUAAACGUAAACAGUACUACACCUCUCAUUUUGGUGUUUUAGAGCCAGUUGAGUACAUUCUAGAUUUACAGAAGAACAGGACGUUUCAAUAUAUUCCUAUUUUACAGUCUUUGCAAAAUCUGCUUAGUCAUACAGGUGUCCUUGAAUAUCUUGACGUUCAGAUUACUGAAGACCAUCAGUUGACUGGUCUCCAGUAUUACAAAACCAUAAGAGACGGUGAGUACUGGAAGCAAAAUCUGUUUCUUUCAGGAGAAGAUUUGAGAAUAGCCAUUAAUCUUUAUGUUGACGAUUUCGAGUUAUGUAACCCACUUGGGACAUCUCGGAAAAAGCACAAACUCUGUGGUGUGUAUUGGGUCUUGGGUAAUUUGCCUCCAGGUUACCAUUCAAAUCUAUCCUCAAUCUAUCUAGCUGUUCUUUGCAAAUCUGAUGAUGUCAAGACUUAUGGCUAUGGAAAAGUGUUGGAGCCUCUUUUGCAAGACCUACAAGUAUUAGAACAGCAUGGUGUUUUCAUUUCUCAGCUUGGUCAGUUGGUUAAAGGAACUGUACAGUGUGUAAUAGCGGACAACCUUGGAGCCCACUCUAUUGGUGGAUUUCUUGAGAGUUUUUCUGGAGGUUCAAUAUGUAGAUUUUGUACUGGACAAAAGUCAGAAUUUCAAACUAAGGAUGUCGGGUCAGGGGCUUUCCAACUUAGAACCAGAGACAUCCAUGGUGCUCAUGUACAGACAGCAAAGGAGAAUGAAAGUUUCUGCUGUGGUGUCAAAAGACAAUGUGUUUUAACUGAGCACCUUUCACAUUUUCAUGUCAGCACUGGCUAUCCUCCAGAUAUUGUACAUGAUCUCUUUGAGGGUGUUGUUCCAGUUGAACUGGCACGUUGUAUUAGUUUGUUGAUCUCCAAAAAGUACUUUACUCUUGACAUUCUCAAUACAUUGAUACAGGCAUUUCCAUACAAAUGGGGAGACAAAACUAAUCGCCCACAUGCCAUAGCACGGUCUUUCGCAUCCAACAACACUAUAGGUGGCAAUGCACAUGAAAAUUGGACCUUGCUAAGAUUGCUUCCUUUCAUUAUUGGGCAAAUAUUGCCAGAUGAUGAGCCACCAUGGCAAGUGAUCUUAGAUCUUAAAGACAUAGUUGAACUAGUUGUAGCCCCUGUUCACACAGACGAGACCAUUGCAUAUCUUGAGGCCAAGAUUUUUGAACACAGACAGCGCUAUCUUGAACUCUUUCCUCAUGUCAAGCUCCUACCAAAGCAUCACUUUUUAGAGCACUAUCCGCAUAUGAUUCGUUGCUUCGGACCUUUAAUUGGACUGUGGACAAUGAGAUUUGAGGCUAAACACAGCGUCUUCAAGCAGGUUGCUCGUCAUACUAAUUGUUUUAAGAAUAUAGCUCGUUCGUUAGCUAUUAAACACCAGUUCAUGCUUGCCUAUCACACACAUUCCUGGAGUCUCAAGAAGUCAUCUUUGGACGUCACUGAUGUCUCAAUUAUGCCUGUUGAUGUCCUUAAUGAAAGCGUAAGGUGUACACUGAAGCAAAGAUACCCAAAUGUGACUCAGGUUCAUAUGGCAAAAAAUGUGUCUUGCAGUGGUAUACAUUACACUGAGGGGAUGCUUAUUGUACAUGGAUCUGUAGAUGGACUGCCUACAUUCAAUGAAAUCUUGAAACUGUGUAUUCAUAAAGAGAAGUUGUGCUUCCUUGUGAAACCUUUGUGCACUUGGUACAGGGAGCAUUAUAGAGGGUUUGAGUUGACUGCCUUACCCACUACAGAGGUUGCCCUGAUUGAGCUUGGUGACUUGAAAGACCCAUAUCCCCUUGUGGAUUACAUGGUUAGAGGUUUGCGUAUGGUGUGCUUGAGAAGAUUCAUCAUCAUUUAA